GACGAAAGAUGGCGGCGAGCUUAACACAUGCAAGUCGAACGGUGAACCUCUUCGGAGGGGAUCAGUGGCGAAGGGGUGGGUAAAUCGUGGGCAACCUGCACCCGGCUCUGGGCUAACUCCAAGAAAUUGGGGCUAAUAACGGAAGAAGAACGCUUCCCGCACGGGAGGGGGUGAAAAGGGGUUCCGGGCGGGGAAGGGCCCGCGGCCGAUCAGCUUGGUGGUGGGGUAGGGGGCUACCAAGGCGACGGCGGGGAGCCGGCAUGAGAGGGGGACAGGGCUCGCUGGGGCUGCGAGACGGCCCAGACUCCUACGGGGGGCAGCAGUUGGAAAUAUUCCGCCAUGGGCGGAUGCCUGAGGCUGAGACGCCGCGUGGGGGAAGACCGCCUUCCGGUAGUAAGCCGCUUUCAGCGAGGACAAAGCGCAAGUGACGGUACCUGCAGAAGAAGCGCCGGCUAACUACGUG
rnacentral:rRNA from 1 species